UACAGAGGCCACGAGCGUUAGGCGGAAUCACUGGGCUUAGCGUGUGUAGGUGGAUCGGUAAGUACCUUGUGAAAUCCCACGACUCAAUCGUGGAACUGCUUGGUAUACUGCCAGUCUUGAGGCACUCAGGGGCGAGCGGAACAGAUGGUGGAGCGGUGAAAUGCGUAGAUAUCAUCUGGAACGCCAAUGGUGAAGACAGCUCGCUGGGGGUGUUCUGACACUGAGACACGAAAGCCAGGGGAGCAAACGGG
rnacentral:rRNA from 1 species